rnacentral:rRNA from 1 species
UGCGAGUCAAGGGACUCUUUUGAGUACCGGCGAACGGCUCAGUAACACGUGGCUAACCUACCCUCGGGUGGGGGAUAACCUCGGGAAACUGAGGCUAAUACCCCAUAGGGGAAGAGGUCUGGAACGAUCCUUCCUCGAAAGCAUUAGCGCCCGAGGAUGGGGCUGCGGCGGAUUAGGUAGUUGGUGGGGUAACGGCCCACCAAGCCUACGAUCCGUACGGGCCCUGAGAGGGGGAGCCCGGAGAUGGACACUGAGACACGGGUCCGGGCCCUACGGGGCGCAGCAGGCGCGAAACCUCCGCAAUGUGCGAAAGCGCGACGGGGGGACCCCGAGUGCUCAUGCUCUGCAUGAGCUUUUCCGGAGUGUAAACAGCUUCGGGAAUAAGGGCUGGGCAAGUCCGGUGCCAGCAGCCGCGGUAAUACCGGCGGCCCAAGUGGUGGCCACUUUUAUUGGGCCUAAAGCGUCCGUAGCCGGCUCGGUAAGUCUCUGCUUAAAUCCUGCGGCUUAACCGCAGGGCUGGCAGAGAUACUGCCGAGCUUGGGACCGGGAGAGGGCGAGGGUACUCCAGGGGUAGCGGUGAAAUGCGUUGAUC